UACGUAGGUGGCAAGCGUUGUCCGGAUUUACUGGGCGUAAAGAGCGCGCAGGCGGUCGUUCAAGUCGCGUGUGAAAGCCCCCGGCUCAACUGGGGAGGGUCACGCGAUACUGAUCGACUCGAAGGCAGGAGAGGGUAGUGGAAUUCCCGGUGUAGUGGUGAAAUGCGUAGAUAUCGGGAGGAGCACCUGAGGCGAAGGCGGGCUACUGGGCCGAUACUGACGCUGAUGCGCGAAAGCCAGGGGAGCGAACGGG
rnacentral:rRNA from 1 species